GAUGAACGCUAGCUACAGGCUUAACACAUGCAAGUCGAGGGGUAGCACGGAGGAAGCUUGCUUCCUUGGGUGACGACCGGCGCACGGGUGAGUAACGCGUAUCCUACCUACCCAUUACUCGGGCACAGCCGCUCGAAAGAGUGAUUGAUUCCCGAUAUGUCAUUAGAUUAGAUCUAAUGAUGAAAGAUUUAUCGGUUAUGGAUGGGGAUGCGUAAGAUUAGGUAGUAGGCGGGGUAACGGCCCACCUGGCCGACGAUCUUUAGGGGUUCUGAGAGGAAGGUCCCCCACACUGGUACUGAGACACGGACCAGACUCCUACGGGAGGCAGCAGUGAGGAAUAUUGGUCAAUGGGCGGAAGCCUGAACCAGCCAAGUAGCGUGAAGGAUUACAGCCCUACGGGUUUUAAACUUCUUUUAUAUAAGAGUAAUGUGCACUACGUGUAGUGUAUUGCAAGUAUUAUAUGAAUAAGCAUCGACUAACUCCGUGCCAGCAGCCGCCGUAAUAC
rnacentral:rRNA from 1 species